rnacentral:misc_RNA from 1 species
GUGAAUCAUCGAAUUUUUGAACGCAAAUUGCACUCUCUUCGGAGAGUAUGCCUGUUUGAGGGUCAGCCUAAAAAAGAAAUCGACAUAGUCGCUGUUUCGCGGUAACAUUCCUCGGUAAUUGGGUGAUCUUAAACCUUUGGGUUUUUAGGUGCUUAAAAUGUUAUUUACGGUUCCACGUGCGAUUCUAAUAUUUACUUCUUACACGU